ACUAUGUAUAGAUCGGAAACUGGUCAGUUGUCGUGAAAAAUCCAGAUAUUUUAAAUCUAACUCAAUUUUAUCAAAAGAUUGUGUAGGGUCUGCGAUACCGAUAAACUAAGGGUAAAAUUUCACCAUGGUCAACUAUAAAAAGCAAUGAUGAAGUUGCUCAAUGUGCAUCAUUUAAACAGAUAAUAACACAUUGGAAGAACUGCACCAGAAAUGACAGUCCUUUGUGUCUGCCAUUAAAGCAUGCCCAAAAGACAGACAGGACUGGGCAGAAUCCAGCAAAUCCAAGUGCAUCUGGAAAAGUGCUAGUGGCAUAGGCAAUCCCCAGAAUAACUUAUUGGCAGGGUUCACAAAUCCACCUGGUAUGGAUCGGCAGAAGUCUCAGCAGAUAGCAGCUAACACAAACAGUGGUUCUAAGGAAUGGCAUCAAAGUGUGACGCAGGACCUAAGAAAUCACCAUGUCCAUAAAUUAGUUCAAGCAAUAUUUCCUAAUCCGGACCCUGCUGCACUUAAAGAUAAGAGAAUGAACAACUUAGUGGCCUAUGCUAGAAAAGUGGAAGGAGAUAUGUAUGAUACAGCAAAUAGCCAGGAGGAGUAUUGCCAUUUGGUGGCUGAAAAGAUUUAUAAAAUCCAGAAAGAACUGGAAGAGAAACGGUUGUACCGUAUACAGCAUGGCACUGGGGGAGCUACAAAUAUUCCAGAAGCAAGACAGAGACCGUGGUUCACAAAUCCACCUGGUAUGGAUCGGCAGAAGUCUCAGCAGAUAGCAGCUAACACAAACAGUGGUUCUAAGGAAUGGCAUCAAAGUGUGAUGCAGGACCUAAGAGAUAACCUUGUUGGUAAAAGGGUGGCUCAGAAGACCAUUGCUGAAUUAGAGGAGAAAUCAAGAAGAAGGCCAACUCCAUACUCAGGAAGCCUAAUGGCCAAGGUCAUUAAGAUUGGACAUGUGGCUGAUGGUGGUGAUGAUGCAGAGUUGAUCAACUUUAGCUUGGCUGAUAAAUCUGGGGCAAUCCUAGCUACAUGCACAGACAAAAGUAAAGAGAGGAUGAUUAAAGAAGGGAAAACUUUGCAUAUUAGAUAGUUCGUCAUUAAGAACGGAAAAGUUGUCAUGUCAUAUAAAACAAAAGUCAUGGCGACGACAAAUAUGGACAUUCCAGUUGCCAUGAUGGAAAAAGCAGAACACCUUAUUCUCCCACCAUCCCCAAUCAAAAAGGUAGAGGAACUUUUGGCGUCACCAUUAGGAACAAUAUCAACUGUACAGGGACAGCUCUCAAAGAUUGAAUCUACUAAAUCAGUAAAAGUCAAUGGAACAGAUACGCUGAUCAGAACAAUAAGUAUAGAGGAGAACGGGAAAAAGAUAGAUGUCACCCUGUGGCAUGAUAUGGCUGAGGAAGACCUGAAAAUUGGGCAAUACCUGUCCAUAUCACACUGUAUAUUAAAGGAGUGGCAGUUACAGAAAACCUUGAACACAACACGAUAUUCCAAGAUUCAGAUACUAACUCCGCCAUUGACAACAACUGUGAGAGGUAGCAUUGACUCAUUAUCACUUGGUGAGGUUUCAAUGGAGAUUGCACUUAAAGAGCGUUCCAAAGCAAAAUAUAAAGACUUCUCUGUGGACUUGUCCCUUAUAAGAACCAUAUUUCCAGAAACACAACACACAAGAAAUGAACAUUUGGAAGAGUACCUCCUUGAAAAAUUACCGAUUGAGGUGGAGCUCAUGGCACAAGGGUCAUCUGUGCAAAAUAUGAGAUUGAUUUAGCAGACAACAAUGAACUAUACCCUUGGGCUUGAAACCUUCUUUGAUGAACUAAGAAAGACCCGUCCAGUAAAUAUAAUUAAGAAUGUCAAACUCCUAUAAGAGACAUUUAAAGUUUGACCUAUGUGAUGCUGCUGAAAUUUCUGAUUAAAUGCUUUUGCUACUUUUUGACAUGUACACAUAGUUUCACUAUUGCUGUGCAAUAGUAAAGUAACAUGGCUGUAAUUAACAUGUUCAUGUACCUGUAAUAUUCUGCCAUGAGUAUGUAGAUUUUAUAAUAUUUUUGUAUGAUUUAAAAAACGUGUCGUAAAAGGUUUUUUGUGUGUGUUUUGGAGGUUUUUUUUGUGGCAUAUUUGCUGGUAUGAAUCUUAAGUAUGUGUGUGGGCAUGCUUCUGUGUGUUGAUUUUUCAAUGACUGUAAAGUCAUAACUGAGGAUUAUCCUAACAUCAAGUUUCAAAUUAUGAGAUGCACAUAUGUAACCGUUCAGUUUUACAUUUAUUUCUUUCAUUAACCUUUGACUUUCUCAGUAAAACAAAAUACUUUAUCGAAAAAAAUGUGGUUGAUUUGAAAUGAUCUUGCAAAACCUUAACACAAGAAUAUGACUGUUUGCUUUUGGACACAAAUGUCAUGGUUUUUUGUAUUUUCAAUUUAUUUUUCAUUGUUUUUCGGCAAGAUUCAUAUAAACCUUUGUAAAUUUAUAAGUAGAUUUCCUUGUUGCAAUCUUUGAUUCACACAUAAGAACAUCUUGUUAUUUUCUUUUUUUUGAAAAAAUAUUACGCAUUUAUAUAGCAGAAGUUUGCAUAUUUAUUGUGAAUAUUAACUGAUACCAGUGAUACAUUCGUAAUGUACCAAAAAUACUCUUGUACUUUU
rnacentral:misc_RNA from 1 species